CUUAAAGACAGCAUUAGUUGCCUCUGAAGGUUCUCUAAAAAUGUUGGAGGUUUCAUAAACCUCAGUAAAGCUCAAAACUGGCUUUUGGAUUGACAUUAAAUUCAUCUUAAAAUGAAGAGAAGUAUUUUCUUUCCAUAACAAAUGAGGUCAUUUGUCCUGCAGUAUUUGGAAGACUUUUGUACAUAAUUUAAUAAACCUCUGUGUUCCUGAAGAUGUGCGAUGUGUUCAUAGCGCCCUGGAACCCUGCUCUCCAUCCUUCCUGGGUGGUCUUCCUGAGGCACUUGCAGAGCUGAAGCCUUCCACUACCACUCUCAAAAGGUGUUCGACCACUCCAUGCUCUGCUUUUCAGAAGCCAUUCUCAUGCACUAGAUUAACAGUAAUUCUGCAGCCUGUGGAUGGAAGACAGAUUACUUUAGGUAAGUACAUGUUUCAGCAUUGUCAACCCAAAUGAAGACAGGGUAAAGAAGAUUCUAAAGGCACACACAUCUAGCUGAUAAUAAAAUGCUAAUAUUGAUAGAUUCCUGAAAAUAAAUUUACCACUGAGUAGUGAAGGCUUUAAAGCAAGGAUAAAAUUAAAAGUUAUAACAUCAGAACUAUGUAAAUCAAUAGAAGGC
rnacentral:lncRNA from 1 species